AGUGUGCCUGGAAUUUUUAGGAUGAGACAAAAAAAAAGUCAUCUCCCCACAGGGAGGGAGGAAGAGAGGAUGGACCCUACUCCCACCCAAAGUGCUGAUCCCAGGGCAAUGAAGUGGUGCUGUCAGGGGAUGCUUGCUGACUAACUCACCGCGGAAAGUGAGGGCAAGGCUCUGGUGUGGUGUGACAGGGUGCCCUGUUGGUGACCACAGCAAAUUCCUCAGGGCUAUGGUGACUUCCUCUGGGAUGGACUCUGGCCUUCCUCAUCAUCUCAGGGGUAUCCCUCCUCCUUUCUAACUUGUCCCCAGUCUGUAUUGUCAGGCAGGGCUGUGGUAUGUUCACUUGCUGUCUUAGCUCAGAUGCUAUAACAAAAUACUGUGCACCGCGUGGGUUAACCAACAGACAUUCGUUUCCCAAAGUUCUGGAGGCAGGAAGUCCAAGAUCAAGGUGCCGGCAGAUUCAAUGUCAGAUAAGGACCUGCUUUCUGGCGUGCAGACAGCCACCUUCUUGCUGUGUCCUCAGAUGGCGGAGACAGAGCUAACUGUAGUCUCUUCCUUUUCUUAUAAGUACAGGAAUCCCCUAACGGGGGCUCUACCGUCAACACCUCAUCUAAACCUAAUUACCACCCAAAGGCUCCAUCUCCAUGUAUGGAAGCAUUGGAGAUUAGGGUUCCAAGAUAUGAAUUUGGAGCUGGGGGGUGGGGUGGGGUGGGACACAAAGUUUCCAUCCAUAGCACUGGCCAUACAGUGCAAACACACACACACACAGAGUAUCCAGGGUGUCCUUCCUCUUAGAAACGGCCAUAGCUAGCGUAGCUACAGCGUAGAAAACUGGAGGUUACAAAAACACUCUUAUUCAUGUAGAAUGCGUGAGACUUCGUACAGAAUUAACUUCAUUCAGACAUACAUGUGCCUAGCCCAGUGCCUCAGCCAAUGGGCGGCGGUCAUCAGCGUGGGAAAUCAUUAUGCCUGAACUAACAUCUUUGAGUGUGAUCAUUAAUCCUGCUUUAUCUGUGCCCCACGUUCUUAGUUACCUUUGACACUCAGCAGUAUGGAGACCUAGCUUUCUCGGUUUUCCCAUUUAUUUUUUUGAGUGCCGUGAAAACCUAGCUCGGAGGUAUUUUUAUUUUAUUUAUUUAAUUUUUUUAAGAUUUUAUUUAUUCAUCUGAGAGAGAGCAGCACGAGAGGGGGGAGGGUCAGAGGGAGAAGCAGACUCCCCGCCUAGCAGAGAGCGCCAUGUGGGCCUCGAUCCUGGGACUCUGGGAUCAUGACCUGAGCGGAAGGCAGUUAGUUGCUUAACCAGCUGAGCCACCCAGGCGCCCCUCGGAGGUAUUUUUAAAUGCUGGACCGGGAAGCUGUUUCAAACACGGCAUGGUGUGGGGUGUGACUCGUAAGGACACGGCGGUCCGACUCGUAGGCCAGGCGUAAACAUGACCAAAUCUAAAGUCCUAACAGGGAUUUGGGAAUUUGCAAGCUGUGGUGAUGUCAGUUGAAUGGGGUGAUUUGAACUGACGGAGCAGCCAGCCAUGUACAGAGGAGCUUAGCGGCCGGUGGGGGCUUUAGGAAAGCUGGUUGGCAGGAGGCCACACCAAGAGGACAGCUUCUAGCAGGACGGCCUGGAUGGAAUGGGAGAAAUGAGAAGGUGGAUAAAAGUGAGAUGUAAGAAGCAUGACAACACUCGAAGAUGUCAUGAAGAGAAUAAUCAUCACUCAUAUCACCAGUGCUUUAGUUUUUGUGCCUAUUGGAUGACAGGAAGUUUGCAUGCAUUUUACCUAAUGCUCUCAUAGCAUCUUGCAGGGGCAUUUGAUUGUCCAUUUCACAGCGAAGGGGUCUGAGACACCGGCUUACAAUUUACUCAUCAUGGUCUGAUGACUAGGAGAGGAGGGAGGAAGGGGGCACGAUUUUCACUUGAGGCUUUUCUGACUCCAAAUGCACUUUUCUUUUCUCUUUGCCUUCCUCGAUGAUGAAAUUUUGCUCACUGUCAACCAAUACCAUUUGCAAAUAUUACUUAGGGCCUACUGUGUUUCAGGAACUGAAGAGACUGGUUCAUUAUCAGAUUAUGUUAUGAAGAAGCAGACUCUGAAUGGAGUUUGGCAGAUGCUUAGACUAUGAUGUUUUAUGUUAUUCAGAGGAUGUAACAGUGAUUCAUAGUAGAUAUGGAGGGGAUUUGUUUUUUUUUUUUUUUAAGAUUUUAUUUAUUUGGGAGAGAGAGAGAUAGAGAGAGAGAUGGCCUGGAUGGAGAGAGAGCACACUAGCGGGGGGGAGGGGCAGAAGGAAAGAGAGAAGCAGUUUCCCCACUGAGCAGGGAGCCGGAUGCAGGGCUCGAUCCCAGGACUCCAGGAUCAUGACCUGAGCCAAAGGCAGAUGCUUAACCAGCUAAGCCACCCACGUGCCCAGGGGUUUGGUUUCACUUGCUCCCUAAAUUGUUACUUGGAGAGUUAAACCUUUCACCUAGAUUUCUUUCCAUCUCUUCAGAGGCAUCAUCUCCAAAAUUGGAUGUAGUUCAUCUCACACCCUAAAACCCACCAACCCCAGGGGAUUCCCCUCCCAACUUCCCUGUCUGUUCAGGGCAACCAGCACACUACCAAGAUGACAAACUUUCAUCUCCGUGGCCACUCCUUCCUCUUCGGUCACUCAGAUCUAGGGGCCAUCCUGGAUCGUUGUCUCCUGUGUCCACUCCUCAGAGCCACAACCUCUUUUUCUUAAUGACCACAUUCUUAAGAUGUCCCAAAGAUCCAAAGUGAAUCCCUCAUUGCUUCAUUAGGAUGUAAGCUCCAUAAAAAUAGAAAGAAUGUUAAGGUCCAUGAGGGCAGGGAUUUUUUUUUUCUUUUUUGUUCACUAUCCUAACCUCAUGUGCCUACAGAAGCCUGGCACAUUUCUUGAAUGUAUGGAUUGAUGCAUGAGUAAUUCAUAGAAGAAGGAAGGAAGGAGAGAAGGGAGGGAGGAGGCGAAUACUUCUAGCGCUAUUAUGUGCAAGCCUUGUGCUAGUCCCUUUAGGGGUGACUGCAUUUAAUCUUUUCAGGACAUUUUGAUCCACAAGUUGCAUUCACUGACUCAAAAUAUGUUUAUUGAAUAUUUACCAUGUGCCAGGCACUCUGCUAGACUCUGUGGGGGAGGGGGGGAGUGAACAAGGCAUGUGCUCUUGGAAUGUAGACUUGAGUUGUGUGUGCACAUAUGUGAUUCAGAGGGACAAUACUCUGGUAAAGGAACAAACAAAGGAAUCAUAAUUUGUAAUAAAGAUGGUGAAGGAAACAGAAGUUUUGCUGCAAAAGAGGUUGAGGCUCAUGACACUCAAACAUGGCCUUUGAAAGCCAGGCCAAGCAUGCUCCACCAUCCCUCCCGCUGCUCCUCACCAGACCACGAUUUCAGGGGGACCCUAAGUUUCUCUCUGUUCGAUGAAGAAUCUGUAUUUUCCCACACUCAGGUCUUUUCUCAUAUUCUGUUCAGCAGAUAGGUAUCCUCAUUUUCUGCACCGGCCUGCAAUGCUUGUUAGUUCAGGUAAGUAAGAAAGUGUUCAUGUCUCCCGGGAGCUCCCAGCUUUGGAAAAGGAUCAGGAACCACAGAAAGUGCUGUACUACAGGGUGGAAUGUGGUGAGUGCUCCGACGGAGAUAUGAAUGAAAUACUAGAGCGUUUAGAUGGAAAAUGAUCCAUAGCCACUUGGGGGAGACCAGAAAAUAUAUUUAGAAAAGAUGGUACUCGAGGUACUUGGGGACACUUUUUAUAGCUUAUUGUGGUAGAGAAAGAAGGUUCGAAACUGAUGGAAGAGUCUGAGCAAAAAUCGCAUAGAUGGCAGGGUUCUGGGGGGCAUUUGGGGCUAGCAGGAAUCCCAGUAUGGCUGGAUUGUGGAGCAGCGGUAGGGGAGAAAGGGAAGCAGAUGCUAAUAUGGGACCAUGCGUUGGAGGGCGAAAUGCCAGGGAGAGGAGUUUAUAAUUAAUGUGGUGGGCAGUGGGAAUUCACUGUCAUUUGUGACUGGGAGAAAGACAUGUUUGUGGCUGUGCCUUAGGAAGACUGUUCUGGCAUGUUGUGGGGGAUGAAUUGAGGAGACCGAUUUGAGGGCUGUUUGCAGUAGAUCAGGUGAAUGGAGGGGUGGGGGGUCCAGUGAUAGCACAGAGGGAUGAUUGUUACGGCCAUGAAGUUAGAAGACAAGUCAAAGGGCUCAGAGCUUUCUGGAUAGGAACUGAGAGAAUGGAGGUGGUGUACACAAAAGAAAAAUUUUUAGGUGGGAAAUUAAUUUGGGGUGAAAGACAUUCAUUCAAAUCCUCUUAUCUGGAAGUAUCUUCCCUUCUGUAGUCUAUAUACAGUGAAACCUCAUAAGGUGGGUGAGGUAUAAGCUGGAUCAUGGGGUUCUGCCUUUUAUGGCACUUUCAGAAUGUUCACAUGAGUUAGCAUCAACAGCCUUGUGAUGGUCUGGUUUCCAUAGUUGGUAUAAAAUUGGGGACUUCUGCAGUAUCUUCUAGAACAGUUUCUAAAGUUCAGAAAGUUCUAAAGUUGAGAAAAUGCUUAAAGAUGAAUUCCUGGAAAUCUCUUUGAAUCUUUUUGGGGGAAAUAAAAGCAGAUCAUAGUUCCCUGUAGAACUAUUUAUUAUUUAUAAUUUCACCGAAGUCUAAUGUAUAGUCUAUGACAGAGGAAAGAGAAGGUGAUCAGUAUAUAGGAGGGAAAAGGAGAUGUUCAUCAACAUAUGGAGGGAAAAACCUAGUGCAAAAAAUUUCAAGUUGAUGUCAGACAGAUGUGAAGCUAGAUUUUCAGUAUUGGUUUACUGGAUGCAAAACACAAAACGAAACCAGCCCAGUUAUAAAAACCAGACCUUAUUUGAAAGUGACCUAAAUGAUACUGUCAGAGUUUAGUUAUUGGCCAAGUGAGAUUACCACAUGAAAACAAGCAGGUAUUUACUCGUGGCCUCUAAUGUUUUUACCAUGUUUCAGGAUAGAGAAGGUCAUGCCACUGCAAGAAAAUUUGCCCAAGGGCAUUGACAUCCUGGAAAUUGACUCUGCCUAUCUUGAGGAGGUCCCCUAGUUCCCGAGUGGUGGAAGUUUUUUCAGGAGAUAUUUUGGUAAUAGGCCUACUGAUAAUAACUGUUUAAUAGCACAGUUUUCUUUUAAAGAACUGAAGAAAUUUUUUUAAAAUUCUGAUUUUUCUUUAUGGUGACCUGUAAAGUUGGAAUGGAAAUAUAUUGAUUAUAUAUAUAUAGCCAUAAUGUCUUUCCUGUAUAUUUGGGACAAAUAAAAGAACUCUAUCCCACUUACCUCCAAACUGAUUAAAGAAUUAACCAGUCUUUCAAAAAAAAAUGUGGAGAUGUUUUAGCUCUGGCUAAACAUGUUCAUUUAGCGAGUGAAAAUGAUUUUCUUCAAAACCUUGGAUAUUACAUUUAGUUUUGGAUGUGUUUGAUAAACUCAGUGUUUAAAAUAUACCCCAUCAAACUUUGGUCUUGUGUAUGCUGACAAAGAUCAUUAUGAUCUGUAGAGGUUAGAAAUGAAAAUCAAAAGACAAAGUAUCAGAAAAAUAAUAAGCAUAUAAGUCAAAGUGACCCUAAAUGCAAAUGGAAGGAAAUAUAAGAUGGCAUAAUGAUAAAACUAUGCAAGGCAAAAGAUUAAGAAAAUUCAUUACAAUUAUGAGAAAUAACUAGGAAAGACCAUUUUGAGGUAACUGUAGCAGAAUAAAGGGAUUGGCAGCACUCUCCAUAGUUUUCCUGCAGUGAUUUCUAAAAUACCGAGUAAGGUUUUGUAUUUCUCAUUAGCUAAGUCUUAGAAAUAUGCCCUCUAAUGUGACUCAUAUGGAUAUAUGGAGUAACUACAAAAAUAUUGUGGAACUUGAGCUUAAUAUAGAUGAAAUAUGUUUUCUCUGUAUCAUAAAUUGUGAAAAAUUGUUCUGAUACAGUGCUGUAAUGCAUUCAUCUGGGAUCUCCAGAACUUUAGGAGUUUAGACAUGUGUGACUUGCAUGUCAGGAUCAGGGUUUUCAUUUUGCUGACUCUGGGUUGGUUUUCACAGUCCGUGAUUUGUGAGCUCUAAACAAGGAUAAUGGUAACCAGGCAUACCAUGAUAUCAUGACUAAAACUGGACUCUGGCCCAGAUGGGAAAGCUAAUGGCAUAACAUUUUCUAAUGUGAAAGCUCACAUGUGGCUGCAUGUGUACAAGAAGAUGCAGCUCUGAACUCAGGCCCAAAAUGUCUGCGACUGCCUUGUGGUAGUUCUGGAGAUAGCUGGGGAUGCGCUCAGAGGAGAUGAUGAUACUUGGGAAGAUGACCUGAACCUGUCAACUUUGACCCAGUUAAAGGAAAGAAAGAAAGAGACUUCUAAAUUUUGUGGCAACACUGUAAUUUAAACAGGAUUUAGUGUGGCAACAAGCUGCAUGGUGUAUCAAAGUGGAUGCAAAGAUGGUAAACUGGAAGGAGGUCUGGAAAGGAGGGAAAUGAACAAUGAGCUCUACUUUAGACAAAGCAAAGAGUGUGUGUGUGUGUGUGUGUGUGUGUGUGUGUGUUAUCAAGGUUUAAAAAGGCUUUAUUAAGUUUGAGACAUCAAGGGGCACCUGGCUGGCUCCAUCAGAGGAGCUUGCAACUCUUGAUCUUGGGUUCAAGCCCCACCUUGGGCGUAGAGCUUAUUUAAAAAAAUAACGUAAAAAUAAAUUGGAAGCAAAAAAAAAAUGGAAGCAUCAAGAUGAACUUGAACUUUAAAAGCUCCCUUCUAAAGCUGAAAGAGUCUAGACUGCCCCUGGUAUAUCACUCUCUCUAAAGUUAGUUCUGUGGAAUAUCUAAUGUUCUGUUACUCUUCCAAUAAAAGAAAGUGGGAGGGUAACUGGUACCAAAUCUGGGGCAAAUAUCCAAUGAGCUUAGAACCGGAAGGAAUAGCCAAGAAAUGUUUGCAAAAGAAGAGGAAUUCUGGAGGUUCCUAGUAGGUGUGAAAAUGUAUUACAAAGUUCCAGUAUUUGCCCGUGUGGUUCGCCAGCAGGAAUAGCAGGCAUACCCCAAGAAGGGCUAGCCGCCAUGGGGACGAUGCUACCUUAGGGUAUAUUGUGUGAACGAGGACGUAUUCCCUUCCACCGUGGAAGGGGAAUCUAGGUAUUUACGGAAAAGUUGGGUUUAAAACCUCACCUUGCAUACCAUAUCAAAAUAGAUUUAAAAAAUGAAAUGUAAAGGAAGAGAACAUACAGGUGAGUUUAGCUCAUUUUUUUUCUAAGUAUGGGACUUCCUAGGCUUAAAAAGGCAUCAGAUAAAUCACAAAGGAAAACUGUGUAUAUUUGACUGCAGAAAAUUAAAUACGUUUGUGUCAUGAAAUAUUAUAAACCAAAUCCAGUGGAAACUGAUGAAUCGGGAGGCAUUUUUACAACACACAUGGUUGACAGCUUUAUAGCAACAAAAAUAAAAUUGUGGUAAUGCAGUCAGAAACUCAUAUUAUCCCAAUAGCAAAAGGACAAAUAUGACAAAUAACUAACAAAAGAAAAAAUUACAGAUGUCCCAUAAACAUGUGAUAAUUCACCCUUGAUGUUCAUAAAAAAAAGGGAAAAUAAAAAUAGCACACUAAUUUUUUGGCCUAUAAGAUAGACAAAAGUUUCAAGUGACAACACUUGUUCAUGAGGAUACAGAAGGUGAGCAUUCUCAGCAACUGCUGAUGGGCUCAUAAUCGUUUUGGAAAUGCAUCAAGAACUUAGGUGACAAUUAUGUCUUUCACCUAGUAAUACCCACUUCUAGAUUCUAUCUAGCUGAUGAGAACAUCAGAGCAUUUGAAUAUUUAUAUGCAAGAAUUUCAUUGCACUGUUCAUGUGGCAAAAAAAACCGAAUCCUCUUAAAUGUUCAAUACUGAGAGACUAGAAAAAGAAAUUAUGGUUGUUUAUGUACUACAGAAACUACUAAGGCAGGAAAGAUAUCCAGCGAAUCAUUGAAUAUGGAUGAUUUUUAAGGAUGAGGGUGGAAUCAAGGUUUUUUUGGAAGCUGUAUCUUUUUUUUUUUUUUUUUUUUUUUUGCUUUUGUAAUUUGCUUUACCCCUCCAAAUUAGCAUGCAUUACUUAGAAAAUUCAGAAAAAGGUGAAGAUGACACGUGAAAAGUGAUAUAUCCCUUUGAUAGAAAUGCAGAACUGGUCAUGAUAAAAUGUCAGAUGGGAAAAAAACCAGAGUAUAAAACAUAAAUGCAAUAAGAUUAUGAUUUUGGUAAAAUAUAGUUAGUGCAAAGACUAGAGAGAGAUACUAAAAUAUUAGCUAUGGUUAUCUCUUUGGGUUUUUAAGAUUUUCUUUUAAAAUAUAUUUUCCUAUUUUCCAGAUUAUGUGUGAUGGGCAUAAAUAUUUUAUUAGUUGUGCAAAAGAGAAAAAAUGGUCCUCUUACAGUUGGAUUGGGUUUUCAAUACUCUGGGCAUUUCUGAUGUUACUUUUAUCAGGUCUCUUUCACUUUUAGUGAUAAUAAAAAAAUUGUUUUUCAAAUAAUAAUGUCUCACCUCUAUAGGGAACAAGUAAUAUGAUGGAACUGCAGUCUGAAGUUUUUGGGUUUGCAAACCGUGAACUCUGCAAGGAGACGUAAAUACUACUCUGGGUUGCAUUCUUUUCCCACCCUAUUCUUGGAGUGAGCCCUACAGUAAAAGGAGUAAAAAAGGAUAGGCCAUGCAGAUUCCUGACAUUCUUUCCUAACCAGAAUGAUUUUUAACUCCUAAUGUGAUUUUUACCCCUCAAAAUAGAUACCAGCUCUCUUCUUUCAUUUAUUCUUUGAUACCUUCCAGAUUUUUUUUAAAUUGGUGCUCUCUCCUGAUUUCUUUUAAAAAAGUGCUUCUGUGACUUGUAAAUAAAUCUGUUCACCUGGAGAAUAUUGAUUUAUGUGACAGCUCAUAACAUGAAAUUUUCGCCUUUUGAUUCUUUGUAAAAAAAAACCCAAAACCUGAAUAUUAAAAAAGAAAAACUGAUGGGGCCUAAAUGGGUUUAUGAGCAUUUUAAACAUUCAUAAAGCUCUUUGAAACUUACAGGCCUACAUUAUCAUUUAUGAUUGAUACUGUCCUAUUACUAAAACAUACUUUGCCAUCCACUGAAAUAUAGUCUAUUUUGGUCAUUCCGUAUUCUCUGAAUGACUAAACAUAGAACAAAUCCCUUUGAGACUUGUACUAUAUUUUAACUCCGCAGUGAUUACCUUAGAUGGGAAUGAAAGACUCAGUCUUGAUCUUCAGGAAUCAGGGUAACUCUGUAAUAGCAGGGUUAAUGGCCUCUGGGGCAUUCCCAGUGUAAAUAGAACGUUUGGGGGGGAUCAGUGGUACUUAUGUUGUAUAAUGUUUACUGGAGUGACUUUGAAAGAUCGUAAGGCCAAUUUCAACAAUUUCAAGUAAACACGAAGUUGCAUUAUGUUCUUAUGGAGUGAGUAGACUUAGUAAUGAUGUUACUACAUUUUGGUUAUUUUUAUCACUAUUGGAUCCUAUGAGAAUGUCUAAGUGAUAUUUGGUAUCCAGACUAGUACCUGACUAGCAAGGGUAGGGUGAAAAAAUCCUUUUAUUUGAUUUCUCUCUGCAUUUUAGUUUGUUGGUACUGACAACUGUAGCAAUUAAAAAAAAAAAAAGGUUAUGAAGAAGAAUGAGGGGUUUUAUGGAGCGUGUGUGUUCGUGUGUGGUGUCUGUAGGGUGUGUGUGAAUGUGUGUGCACGCACGUGUGUUUCCCUCUUCCUGGCCUUGCUGGAUCUGGUUAGGGGGAUUUAGUCACCUCAAACGGUUCUGAAUGUUUGGUGAAUUAGCAGAGAACAGGAGCAAAGUAAUAACAGCUCUCUUUCAUUUUUAUCUCCUCUAUUCCCAUCAUAGGUCUUGUUUUCCCACCUGAAAUAAUGGAGGCUGUAAUAGAAAACAAUAAGGAAAGACAUCUUAUUAGAGAAUAUGCAAAUUAGUCUCUUGGUUAUAAACCCUCUUUGAAAGCAUACCAGGAAAACAAUUCUCUGUAUGUGAUUGUUAGAAAAGAAUGGAUCAUAUCUUCCAUUAUGAGUUGUUCAGAUAGGGAAGUUGUUGAGAUAGGGAAGGAAACCAGUUAUUUAUUAUUUUAGGCACACCACCGAGUUUCUCUCUGUCUCUCUUUCUCUCUCCUUAUAUAUCAAUUAAUUAUUGAUUAAAUGCAGACAGUUACCUUGCUAGCAAAUAUUACCCUUGUUUCAUAGAUGAAGAAAGUAUUAGAAGCAGGACUCAUAUUGCCUUGUUUAUUCUAAGAACUAUAUGUUCCUUGAACAGCAUCAAGGUGUCUUUGUAGGAGUAACUGGGCUGACAAUCAACUGUAAGUUUUAUUUGUGAGUCUUUGAAGUUGUCUCCCUUUUGUGAAGCAGAAUUAACCUUUUUGUCUAGCCUUUACAAAACACAUUGUCAGAGCAGUUCAUGUUACCUUCUUUGAGCUCAAAAGUUACCUUCAUUCCUCAGGCCAACCUGUUCUCGGGAAGCAAUAUAUUCUAGCAACCAGGGCUGCUCUGGUUUGGACCCUCAGCUUUCCCUCCGGGUGUAGAGGCCCAGCAGGCAUGGGACAGCUCAAUCUGCCAAGUAUCUUCUGUACUAAGUUAUGGUAUAGGCAGCACUAUAAAGACCUUUGGAGGACCCCUGAGUAAAAAUUCCCCGUUCUCCACCUGGUUGUGGGCUGGGGCAAGUUACCUCAACUUUCUGAAUCUCAGGGUCUUCACCUGUCAAACUAAGAUUGGGUGAAAUCAGUGUCACCUGGGGUCACUUAGAGGCAGCUACAGGGGUGGGUGAGGGCAGGAUAGAUGAUCUGGUGUUCUUCUGGGCCCCCUACUAUCCAUGCUUCAGCAACAGAACAUCUGUGUGCACACACGCACAUGCUCUACCUCACCCUCUGCCCUGAUUCUCGGUGAGAUUUUGUUUGAAGAAAAGGUUCUAUAUCUAAAAAUAGUUGGAAAAACACUGGGAAAUAGUCCUUGAGAUUUCUUUGAGCUCUAAAUUUCCAUGGGUGUAGGAGACCCGUUUUAAAGAUAGACAAUCCCACUAUCUUUAAUUUAACUAAAAUCUAAUCUUUAACAUUUACUGCCAAGCAUUUUUAAGUUAGAAAUUUCAGAAAAAAAAUCUGAAAGAGAAAAAUCAAAGUCAAAAUCUGUGACUGAGUACUUUGAGAGGGCAAGCUAUAAGGCAAACUGCAUGGUUUCUAUGCUUUUCUGCAGAAAAAUCUUUAUUCUUCUGAGGUAAGUGUAAGAUAAUAUUUACAAUCAGAAGUCACUAGAAUAUACUUCACAAAAGAGAAGUACCAUUCCUUCAAGACAUCGUGAAGUUCAUCAUUUUCCAUCUGUUCUUUUUCUCUUGGAAGCUUGUUAUGCCAUUAAUAGAACACACCUGCUGUUUUCCUGCGUCUUUUCUUUUGUGACAGUCUGUGAACAAGGUGACCGGACACCAGAGGAAGAACAGAAGUGUUGGGCUACAAGGUUUGCUUUUGUGGGAGUUCCUUUUACUCUAAAUCUUCGGGGCGCUUAUUUAAAAUCAGUGUUCCAAGUACAAUAAUUAAGCACCUACUGCACACUUCAACACUAUUCAUUUAUUGAUGGGCUACCCAUUAAGGUCAUGACUUCAAGAGGCUGACUUUCAAGCAGCUCUGUCCCAUAGAACAUUCUCUGAUGGUGGAAAUAUCCUCUCUUUGCUGAGCAGUACCGUAGCCACCAGCCACUUGAAAUGUGCCUAGCAUGACUAAUGAACCGAGUUUUUAGUGGUAAGUAAGCUAAUUUAGAUCGGCAGAUGUGGCUGGUGGUGACCCUAUUGGACAGUGUAGCUCUGGAGAAUCAAUAGAAUUGGUAAAAUCAUCUUAACGUUCAGGGGAUGAAGGCAUUGAGUUCUUCUUUGUUAUUGGCACUUGAAUGGCUUAGGUUACAGAUUUUUACAUAUAAAACCAUUUUAAAUUAAGCAUUUCUUCAGUGCUUGGCACAUAAAGGAGUCAAUGAGUGAUGGGAUGGGUUUAAUAGGUUUCCCCUUACUCCACCCCUAGUCACAGCAACUCAGGCAUCCGGUGCAUCCUGGGUGAGGUCCCUCACAAGUUUCCCGUAAGAUUGCCAGACCCAUAGACUCACCUUUCAAGCUACCCUGGUCUCUGUGGGAGUUCUGAGUGAGGCUCUGUCUAUGCAUGCUGCUGUCUUUUUUCUUACUGCCAGUGCUUCUAGGCUCAGCAGCCCCUCAGUCAUGCCUCUGGCUUGCAGACGUCCAGCCUUUCUGCGCCCAGCCCAGGCUACUCCUGGACACCUCCCACAAACUCCCCUAGGGCCCUUAGAGGUCUAUGGCUAUAAGCCCCACUCUGUAGCAUGCUGACCUGACCUCAUUUAGGGCCCAGUGUUCAUUAUGGCUCCUAACACCAGCAUCACCAUCCUGGAGCAUGAGCAAUGCCAGGGGUCAGAAUCAUGCCAUUGGACACAGUUGAAGGGACUGAGAAUGCAUCACUUAGAGAAUGUCAUUAGAUGAAUACUGUUUAUUAAACAUGCUUUUAUGUUGUGCCAGGCAUGGGGCUAAGUGCUUUAAAUUCUCAGUUAAUCCUUGUAGCAACCACAUGUCCUAUUUUGACACAUUUUAGAUGUGUGCGUAGGCUCAGAGAGGGUAAGUGACUUUCCCAAAGUCACACGGCUAGGAGGCUGCAAAUAUACCAUUCCUGUUUACACUCUCUGGCUCUCAGGCUCACAGUUUUAACCACAAUGAAAUUCCUUAUUCAAGAGGGACAGUUCUUCCAAAUCAGUGCAGAGGGCAAAUCUAAAAGGAACUGGAGUUUGGGGGACUACAGAGAAGGAUUUUCUACUAAUUCACGCUCCACCACAAACACCUGGCCCUGUGAAGCAUGCUGUGCGUCGGAGCAGCUCAUAGCUGAGGCCUCAUGCCGUUGCAUCAGGACGGUGGUAAAAGGCCUUCUUGGGUAAGUGGGAGCUCACGAGUGAUAGAUGAACUCUCAGGGCCUUUCUGAUUCAAAUUUCUUCUGAAUAUAAUUUCCUCUCUUGAGGACAUUUACUGCCAAUUUAUUCCCAUAUGACUACUUUUUUAUUUUCCAUGCAAUUCAUAAAGACCCUUCUUUUUCUGUGUGAAACCAGGAUGUAAUUUAUUCAUCACUCAAAUUUGCAUAAACAGGGUAUUCUCUUCCUUCAGCAAGCCUGUAUAAGAAUCCACAUCACGUUUCACUGGGGAAUAAAGAAUGGCCUGGAUCAUGGAAACCAAAAGGUGAUUGCCAAAAGUAUUUUAAACAUUUGGCAGACUUUGUUUAGUUCUGUUAGAUAUUAAUGAUCAGUGACAUGACAGCCAGGAGAGGAAGAAUACAAUAUCAUUAGAUUUCAAGUUAUACAAUGAGCUCUUAAAUCAUUGAGAUAUGCUUUUAUUAUUCUAAUAUACCUUUAGUGUUACAUUGUGCUCCGUAAUUAUUUCUGAUAUGCGUUGUAUGUGCCAGGUGUUAACUAGCAUUUUGGGUUUCUUCGCAAGUGCAUUUUCUGUGUUUGGAGGGAAAAUAUACUGAAUAUCCUAAAAAUAUUUGUAUUUUCGAAAAGAGUGUUGAGUGUCUGUGAUUAGAAUAUAACUCUGUUGGAAAUGCCAUCGAGGAUAACUUUAUGGGAAACUAUAAGAUUAGAAAGCUGUUUUUUUCUUCUGUAAGAACAUUUGGGAUUCACUUCGGGAAAGAGUAAUCAAUACAUAUCUUCACGUUCUCUGUAUGUGCUCAUCCUACCGAGGAUGGGUAGUAUCAACUACUGGCAUUCCCAGCUCUGGCAACUUGCGCCAGGGUUUGCAAGCGAAUGUACCUCAUUCGAGGGGGCCUGACAUCUAUAGAUGCUCCCAUGGAGAUGGUCAUACAUUAUGAUUAUGGAUUUUCAUUCUAGAAAUGAUUAUCACAUGGGAUAAGCCUUACAGAGGAAAUACUAGGCAAAGAGAUGAUGUGUAUAAGGCAAAAACUGGGCUGGGAAGAACUGAAAGGGUUUCGUGAUAGGAACAGGUGGAAUCUGUAUUUCAGAACACUGGCAGGGCGGGGAUGGGGGAAUCAGACAAGUUGGGAUUUCUAGAAGGAAGGUUGCACUAGGUGGGUCUAGAAGAAGGCUAGGAUUUCUGGGCAACGUAAAGAACAUGAACAAGGAACAUAAGCAGGGAAACUGAGGCAUGAAGGAGGGGAAUGCCGACCAUUUCAGUUUGCAGCAGAGCUGAAGAAUGGGAGGAAACAGAAUUCACAAAGAAAAGUAAGUCUGGGGCUAUAUUGUGAAGACCCUUAAGUAUCAGCGUGAACAGUUUGUAAUCAGCCUGUGUGGGGAUGGGGAUCUAUCUCCCUUCCUCUCAGGAGAUUGGUAUUUUCCAUGAACUCUUCCACAUAUUUUUGGCCUGUCUCUCCCAUACAGGGUAAGAUCCUUGAUCAUAUUUAUUUUGAUUUAUAGUUAAUGCUAAACAGAGUCUAGGUAUGUUAUACAUACAUAUAUAUAUUUAUUGGUUGUUGACUGCAUAUAAAUCACUGUGACUAUAUAGCCCCCUUUAUAUGUACUGAUGUAUUUAUUGUACUAAUAUGUAAUAAAUACUAGAAAAGUUUGUUUCAUGCAUUAUAUAUGUGAUGUUAGUGUGUAUGUGAUUUCUAGAAAUGGAGUUGGUUUAAGAGUACAUUUGCUUAAAGCAAAUUUUAGACAAUUUCUUUCUUUUUU